ensembl:lncRNA
CAGGAAAGUUACAUUUAGAGAAGUCUACUUAGAAAAUAUGAAGUAAAAAAAACUAUUUUAGAGUUGUCUUCCCCUGAAAUUUAACGUUGCAUUCUGAAAUAGCAUACCUGAAAGUCAGGCCAUCCCGUUGCAUACAAUGGCUGAUGGUGAUUGCCAAAUUAUACACAAUUUUGAAUAUUUCAAGUAUUCCUGAUUUCAAUGUUUAAAGCAUUGAAGUUACAGCACAGAGUGUAACCAAGAAAGUGGGUUGCUUACUUUCAUUCAAAGACUUUGCUCUAAAACUGCCAAAUUACUCCUCGUUGGUGGCAGAGGAAAAUAGCAACAAAGGAUUUCAAUUUGCUUCAGCUGCUUUUUCAUCUUGUUGUACUUCUCAGAGAAGGCAUACAGGACCCCUCGUGCCUACUUUGGCUCCUUCAGCAGCAUGAGUUCCCAACUGUUUAAUUAUGAAACUUUUUAAUGAGGACUCUCGUAACAGUUUGCCCCCGUGCAGUUACUGAAGCAGGGAGCUAUCUCUGUGUUGGGCUGCCUGAAUUAAUAUUUCAGAUUUCCCAUGCCUCAGAUGUAAGUUGAAUUGGUACUGUUCCUGUGACAAACAGACAGUGUGCAGCGAGUGACAAUCCUCACCACAUCUAUGGUAUUAAUUCAGAAUUAUGUAAAUAUCAUAAUCCAUUCUGAUACAACAAAAAGCAAUCAAGCUAAGUCUGACUUUCUGCUAAACUGAAUUAGAGGUAUCUACUGUCCUACUCUGUACCAAAGAUCAUUUAAUUACCUCCUUAUCUCAGAAUCCGUCACCAGAAAGGUUUGAUGACUGUUAAUAAGGGAGACUCCUUUCAAAGAAUGCCUUGACCAAAAGGUCAGAAACCACCUUCUGCCUCCUACCAUAUGAUUUGUAGAUUUUAUUGCUAUUUCCCACUUUCAGAAAAAAAGAGGUUGUUAAGAAUGUAGAAAUAGCAACUGGAGAUGCGUUCAGUCUUGUCUUAUUUGAUGUCUUGUCAUCUUGUUGGAGAAGUAGGGGAAGAACCUACUUCCCUAAUGAAAACAUGGCUCUGAGCUCUGGAUGCCGCUGUAAUUUCUGUUGGAAUCUGAUCCUAAUUAAGAUUUGUGAACUCAAGGGCUUGGUGGGGUGCAGGAGAAAAGCCCUUUGGGCACAAUAUUAUUACACAACAGUAGGGGUUGGGAGGGACCUCUGGAGGUCAUCAAUUCCUGCCCCCUGCUAAGCAGGUUCCCUACGGUAGCUUAUGUAGAAAAGCACCCAAGUGGGUUUUGAGUAUUUCCAGAAAAGGAGACUCCAGAAGCUCUCAGGGCAGCCGGUUUGUGCCCGUUGCCCCUUGUCCUGAGACACGAGCCUGACUUUAUUACAAGAGAUUUUGAGCUCUGCCCAAGCUGUAAAUUAUUGGAGUCAGACUUUUUUUUCUCCUGUAACAAUUAGAAAGGCUCAAAUAAUUGAUGUAUUUUUCUGUAAGAAAGUCAUAUCUCUGUAGUAUAAAACUAUGUUCCCUUGCUGAGCCCAUGCAACUGUUCACAAAUUUAUUUGAGUCAGCUGGAGAGUCUUCUGUUAUUUUAUAGGAAUGUACACACAAAUAUGCAUGGAUGCUUUUUCAAAUAUAAUUUCAUGUUGCCUGGGGGAAAUGGUCUCUUCAAGAGUGUCUUCAGCCUCCUGGACAGGUAGGUGAUGUGGAAUGCAAUAGUCAGCUUCCUCUUACGUUGCAGUUUUGAGUCACAGCUGUGUUCUUCCACAUCUGAACAGGGAGGGGGUGAACAGAGUUAGAAAUCUCUAGGCUUGAGGACAGAGCUCUCUUGGCUGAGCUGUUGUGAGCUGGGAAAAUUGGAAUUAAAAUCAGUACAUUGUGUGCAUAUAGUAUAUAUGGGUGUGGGCUUACAGCUCUUAUUGAUUUAUUUCGAGUUGUUCAUUCCCAUGGAUUUUGCAGGAUCUGUUUGCAGGUUUUCUCCUUGCACUGAUUUAGGCCUAAGGACUGCAUGCUUUGUCAUCCCUCGCUUCGUUCUCCAUGGAUUUCCCUCCAUUUUCAAACCGAAAUGCUGAUCUGUACUGUUAUCCUACAGACAUUGGUGUAAUAGCUAAAUCCAGUGUGAUCUUUUUUCUGAACAGAGUAUGACUUCGAAGAAAGCAGCAGCUGUUUUGGGUUGCAACAGUUCUAUCUUGCUUCAGGUUUUGUGCUUGGUUAUGUACAUGAAAAGAAUGUGUUGAGUGCUGAUGCUGAGCUGUAAAGCAGCUGAUAGAAAUGGCUGCAUUUUAGUUGUCAACAUUCCCAUAUAAAAUGUGUUCUUUCGUGGCAACAGACUUCAUUUAGUUGAAGAUUGUUAAGGUGCUACGAGGCUCCUGUAGAUCAUAGAAUCAGAUGAGGCAUAACGAUGAUUUAUUCCUGCCGAAGUUAAACAAGUUUGAGUUUGUGCUUAAUUUAAAAGCUGAAGAAAAUGAGUUAAUUAAUUUCAGGGCAAUUCGAUAGUAUCACAUACAGACUGGCAGUGCCACGUAGCAAGAAUCACUUUAUUCUUCUUCAUGCAAUGAAUCUUUUCUAAUCCAUUUGCUUAAGUUUCUGGGUUUUUCUUUAUCUUUUCUGAGGUUGAACUUCCUUAUUGCACCUUGUUUGUUGAACAUAUUACAAAGCAGGUGUCUACACACACAGAGUUGUGGAGAGACAGAGUAAUGUGAGAGCUGAAUUCUAGGCUAUGGGAAAAAAUAACUUCAUUGUAUUAUGUAUGGCUUGAAUGGAAAAACCAGAAGAGGAAAUGUCUUUGUUAUGAUAACUGCUGAGGUUUUUCCUCUCCUUUAAUAGCCCUAUCAGUGGAGUCAGCUGUGAUUAAUAUGUCUUGUGAAUGGAAUAAGAACUAUAAAAAUGUCCCAGUUCAGAAGUCUUGUUAACUAGCCAAGCUAUUGUUUUUAUUUUGUUGUUUCAAAUGUACAACUUCCAAAUGGUGUUGAAUGAGGCUUUUGGUGGACUUGCUUUUUAUGAUUUUGUUGAAUUUUUUUCAACCAUGGCUGAAUCAUAGCGGGUAAAAGCUGCACCAGAGUUGUUUAACAAGACCAGUUUGUAGGGAAAACAUCAGUAUCUUUUGAACGUAAUGGUCAAUUUCAAUUGAAUAGAUGCCUCAAGGAUGUCUCAGAAGUUUCCUGAGAACAGGUGGCUGCCGAAGAAGGCAGAUGCCGUUCAUGGACUUGGUGAAAGAAAAGCUACAACGUAGGCUGUGUUGGAUAUAGGAAAAUCUAAUUGGAAUUUUCCCUCUUGUUAGAUUCCAGAGAACGAAUCCAC